UCGACCAUUGGAACAUCCAAGAUCUAGCAGGUGGAUGGACGAAAGAGUUCAGAGUAAUGGUUGACAUUAUAAAAAAAGAUUAAUCAUUUUUUCACGUAAAAAAAACAACCCGAACCUUUUUUUGGCACCCCACUCUCCUCUCCUCAGCCCGAUGACUCUAUGCACAGACAGUGUAUCCUUUAAUUUUGACCAUCCUUUGGAGGCCUGAUUCUUAUUUGCUUUCAUGGGAUACUUUCAAUCAACA
rnacentral:lncRNA from 1 species